rnacentral:rRNA from 1 species
ACGCACGCUGGCGGCGUGCCUCAUACAUGCCAGUAGAACGCACAGUUUAUACCGUAGCUUGCUACACCAUAGACUGUGAGUUGCUAACGGGUGAGUAACGCGUAGGUAACCUGCCUGGUAGCGGGGGAUAACUAUUGGAAACGAUAGCUAAUACCGCAUAAUAUUAAUUAUUGCAUGAUAAUUAAUUGAAAGGUGCAAUUGCACCACUACCAGAUGGACCUGCGUUGUAUUAGCUAGUAGGUGAGGUAACGGCUCACCUAGGCGACGAUACAUAGCCGACCUGGGAGGGUGGUCGGCCACACUGGGACUGAGACACGGCCCAGGCUCCUACGGGAGGCAGCAGUAGGGAAACUUCGGCAAUGGACGGAAGUCUGACCGGGCAACGCCGCGUGGGUGGAGAAGGUUUUCGGAUCGUAAAGCUCUGUUGUAAGAGGAGAAAGGGUGUGGGAGUGGAAAGUUCACACUGUGACGGUAUCUUACCAGAAAGGGACGGCUAACUACGUG